AUUGAACGCUGGCGGCAUGCUUUACACAUGCAAGUCGAACGGUAACAGGGUGCUUGCACCGCUGACGAGUGGCGAACGGGUGAGUAAUACAUCGGAAUGUACCCAGUAAUGGGGGAUAACGCUUCGAAAGGAGUGCUAAUACCGCAUACGCCCUGAGGGGAAAGUGGGGGACCGCAAGGCCUCACGUUAUUGGAGCAGCCGAUGGCUGAUUAGCUAGUUGGUGAGGUAAAGGCUCACCAAGGCGACGAUCAGUAGCGGGUCUGAGAGGAUGAUCCGCCACACUGGGACUGAGACACGGCCCAGACUCCUACGGGAGGCAGCAGUGGGGAAUUUUGGACAAUGGCGAAAGCCUGAUCCAGCCAUGCCGCGUGUCUGAAGAAGGCCUUCGGGUUGUAAAGGACUUUUGUCGGGGAGGAAAUCCCCAGCGUUAAUACCGCUGGGGGAUGACAGUACCUGAAGAAUAAGCACCGGCUAACUACGUGCCAGCCGCCGCCGUAAAAC
rnacentral:rRNA from 1 species